GACGAACGCUGGCGGCGUGCCUAAUACAUGCAAGUCGAACGCAGUGGGGACGGGUGAGUAACACGUGGGUAACCUCCCAUCAGAGGGGAUAACACUUGGAAACAGGUGCUAAACCGCUACUGAUGGAUGGACCCGCGGUGCAUUAGCUAGUUGGUGAGGUAACGGCUCACCAGGGCCACGAUGCAUAGCCGACCGGAGAGUGUGAGAGGCCACCCUGGGACUGAGAGACGGCCCAGCCUCCGUCGGGAGGCAGCCGUUGGGGAUCUUCGGCACUCGACGCAAGCCUGACCGAGCAACGGCGCGCGAGUGAAGAAGGUGCUCGGAGCGUAAAAUCCUGUUGUUAGAGAAGCGUUAUCUACCCAGAAAGCCACGGCGCACUCCGUGCCAGCAGCCGCGGUAAUUC
rnacentral:rRNA from 1 species